rnacentral:lncRNA from 1 species
AACGGUCGGUCGUGGCAGGCACAGUGGCCUCCACAGAAGGUCCCUCCUCUCCCCCGCCCCUGCUGACCUGGUGCCUCCCUCCACCGUGGUAUCCUGCUCCAGUUUCUUGAGCCCCAUCUUCUGAGGCUGCCUUGGGGCCUCUUUCCUGCUCCACAGCUUCCUGUUCCUGCUCUUCAGGUUCUUAAAUCCGGGCCUCCUGGAAGUAGGCCUCCAUCACAGCUCGAGAGGUAGCUUCAUUUUACUGGUUGGUCCCUUAAAGAAACAAAGCCGUUUAGCCAGUAACGCAUGCCUUGGCACAGCACUCGGGAGGCAGAGGCAGGAGGAUCUCUGUGAGUCCAAGGCCAGCCUAGUCUACAGACCUGAAGUGCAGCCCCUGGACCACCUCCUUCUCCACUCAGUGUCACAGCUCUGCAGCCCCACAGUGGCUCUAACUCCCAAAUCACUGAAGAGGCCCAAGAUGCAGAUGCCGCGGGACUCAUUCCCCACUGACUGGAGCCCACCACCUGUAGAGUUCCUAAACAAGAGCAAGAAGGUACCUCCUGCUAGAAGGAGGCCCCUGGAGGACUUGGAGAUGGACCUUCCAGAUUCAGACCAGAAGGUGGAGCUGGCCUCACUGGAGGAGCUCUUCUGGAACAUGUCAGGUCCAAGCCAACAACAGGCUGGGACCCCGGAGGUUUCGUCUGGGGGCUCGGAGUGCUAUGUCAAUAAUUUAGAUUACUUACUGCAAGAAAA